AGUUAAAAAUUUUAUCUAUUUUUACCGUCAAAUAUUAAUGUAAAUGACAAAAUAACCAGAUAAGUUAUAUAUGAUAUUCAUGUGUAUAUUAUGUUGACGUACAUAAAUUAAUUUUUACCAGUAAAAAUAGAUAGAUUUUUUAACA
rnacentral:pre_miRNA from 1 species